rnacentral:rRNA from 1 species
AUGCAGGAUGAAGGCAAAGCAGGGGACGCGUUGGUGGCGCCGGAAUCCAUGGCACCGACGCAAAUCGACGUGAGGAUGGACGUGACACUCCUCCACUGCCAGGGCUGCCUCCUCCCCCUCAAGCCCCCGGUGUUCAAGUGCGAUGCCGUAGGGCACGUAGUGUGCUACUACUGCCGCGCCGGGCACCGCGCCGUCUGCAGCCGUACCAACACCCACUGCGGCCAGCUGGACAAGGUGGUCGGCGCCGCCAAGGUGCCGUGCCCCUACAAGGCGUUCGGCUGCGAGCGCUAUGUGGUGUUCCACGAGGCCGCGAACCACCAGCGCAUGUGCCAGUGCGCGCCCUGCACCUGCCCGGAGUCCGCAUGCGCCUUCGUGGGCUCCCGCGCAAUGCUGGCCAACCACUUCGCCGCCGAUCACCAGCGCCCCGCCGUCACGGUCCGCCAUGGCCGGUCUUGGUGCCUGAACUUCUCCCUGUCGCACGGCUGGCACCUGCUCGUCGGGGAGGAGGACCGCGGCGUGUUCCUCGUCUCCCUCCGUCCGCUCGGUCCGGGCACCGCCGUGUCACUGUUCUGGUGCAAGCUCUCCAUUGAGCGCCGUGGCGGCGACAAGGACUACGACCUAGUCCUCAUGACCUCGCCGGUGAUCAGCAACGCGCUAUCCACGAGCGCACCGGCGUUGGGCCAGGGGAUGUUCUUGGUGGUGCCCUAGGAGCUGCUCUCCGGCGACACGCUCACCCUCAGCGUCCGGAUCGAUCUGAUCCCACCUGCCGCCGUCGCUACCAAGUCAACUACUACACCGCAGGCCAGGGCGCCCAGGAGGAUGCAGUGA